AGGCACUUUACUAGGCUAAUACUGACGCUGAGAAACGAAAGGUAAGGUAGCGAAACGGAUUAGAUACCCGUGUAGUCUUACCCGUAAACUAUGGACACUAAACGGUAAAUUUUUAAUUUACUGUUAAAGCUAACGCGUUAAGUGUCCCGCCUGGGGAGUAUGCUUGCAAAAGUGAAACUCAAAGGAAUUGACGGGGGCCCGCACAAGCGGUGGAGCAUGUGGUUUAAUUCGACGGUACACGAAGAACCUUACCAGGAUUUGACAUGCUAGAUAGUUGCUUGAAAGAGUAACGUGCCGUAAGGAAUCUAGACACAGGUGGUGCAUGGCUGUCGUCAGUUCGUGUUGUGAAAUGUUGGGUUAAGUCCCGCAACGAACGCAACCCUUGUCUUUAGUUAUUUUCUAAAGAGACUGCCUGUAAUAAACAGGAGGAAGGUAAGGAUGAGGUCAAGUCAUCAUGCCCCUUAUGUCCUGGGCUACACACGUGCUACAAUGGGAAAGACAAUGAGCUGCAAAUCUGUAAAUUUAAGCAAAUCUCUUAAACUUUCUCGUAGUUCGGAUUGUGGGCUGCAACUCGCCCACAUGAAGUUGGAAUCGCUAGUAAUCGCCAGUCAGCUAUAUGGCGGUGAAUCCGUUCCCGGGCCUUGCACACACCGCCCGUCACACCAUGGGAGCUGUUCACUCCUAAAGUCGUAUUUUCAACUUACAAGGAGAAAAAUGCCU
rnacentral:rRNA from 1 species